AUACGGAGGGUGCAAGCGUUGUUCAGAAUUACUGGGCGUAAAGCGCGCGUAGGCGGUUUGUUAUGUCAGAUGUGAAAGUCCACGGCUCAACCGUGGAAGUGCAUUUGAAACUGGCAAACUUGAGUACUGGAGGGGGUGGUGGAAUUCCCGGUGUAGAGGUGAAGUUCGUAGAUAUCGGGAGGAAUACCGGUGGCGAAGGCGACCACCUGGCCAGAUACUGACGCUGAGGUGCGAAAGCGUGGGGAGCAAACAGGAUUAGAAACCCUUGUAGUCC
rnacentral:rRNA from 1 species